UACGGAGGGUGCGAGCGUUAUUCGGAAUUACUGGGCGUAAAGCGCGUGCAGGCGGGGGAGGUGGUCUGAUGUGAAAGCCCGGGGCUUAACCCCGGAAGAGCAUUGGAAACUUUUCUUCUUGAGUUUCGGAGAGGAAGGGGGAAUUCCCGGUGUAGAGGUGAAAUUCGUAGAGAUCGGGAGGAACACCAGUGGCGAAGGCGCCCUUCUUGACGACAACUGACGCUGAGACGCGAAAGCGUGGGGAGCAAACAGG
rnacentral:rRNA from 1 species